ACUAAUGUGGCAGAAAUACUAUGCAAUGAACUUAAGAUUCAUUUAUAAACUAAGUUUCUUUAGAA
rnacentral:tRNA from 1 species